CAGCAGCCGCCGCGGUAAUACGUAGGGUGCAAGCGUUAAUCGGAAUUACUGGGCGUAAAGCGCACGCAGGCGGUCUGUCAAGUCAGAUGUGAAAUCCCCGGGCUUAACCUGGGAACUGCAUUUGAAACUGGCAGGCUAGAGUCUUGUAGAGGGGGGUAGAAUUCCAGGUGUAGCGGUGAAAUGCGUAGAGAUCUGGAGGAAUACCGGUGGCGAAGGCGGCCCCCUGGACAAAGACCGACGCUCAGGUGCGAAAGCGUGGGGAGCAAACAGGAUUAGAUACCCCGGUAGUCCCUGUCUCUUAUAC
rnacentral:rRNA from 1 species